rnacentral:lncRNA from 1 species
AAAUUGUCUUCAUCAAGUAAUCGCGAGUGACCGGCUUACGAGUUAGCUACAUAUGAUGUAUCAAUCGUAUGAUGAGUCAAAGGGAAGUAAAGAUACGUAGCGUUAAAUACAGAUUAGACGCGUUAACGUAUGAAGCGAAGAAAACUGCGCAUUUAGAAGGCUGCAUCAAAAGUUGAACGAAGUUCUUAAGAAAAAGAUUACGUUCAAGAAACUGUCCUCUCACAAGAUCCUUUUCUUCUCGUUUAACAAAGAGGACCUUGAGACCUCUUUCACAGAGUGAGAGAGAGGGAGAGAGAACAAGAGAGAGUGCCAUAAGCCUGGAGAAACGUCUGCCCGUUAACACUUGGAGUUGGAUUGAUAUAAAUAUAUGCUGAACGAGAUUAAUCAAAUUGUUAUUUCUCCGCACCGAGCGCGUGACAAAACAAACGAACGACGCAAACAGAAAGGAAAUUAUGAAUUGUCCCAGGGUGAGUCAUCGUUCCGAAAGCCGAUACCGACGCCCAUAGUUUCCGGCUACUAUUCCAACUGACCGACGAAGAAGAAAGGAGAAAAAGAUGUGUGAAGGAAGAUGCGGAAAAGCGCAGUUGAAAAAAAUCCAUUACAAAGAAGCAGCAUAUCUGACGCGAUUGUUUCAAUGGAAAUUAUGAUUCAUGAUCAACUUGCACGAUCAUCAGUUCUACCAGCUUCUCGAACCGCUUGUCAGAUCCACGGUAGAAAUGAUAAGUGAUUCCUUAUCUUCUAUAACAGAUCGAAACUUCCACGAGAUAAGAAAGCAAUUUCAAAACCAAUUUAAAACAGAGCAGCGUUGAAGCAAUGGACGACCGAUUAAAGUAACGACGUAACGAAUCUUAACGAUGAUUUAAACUCAAAAUAUCAGUGAAUCGAUAAUUUUUCAAAAAUUCCGGAAGUUUUUACCUAAUGAAUAACGUUACAAAAUGUUAUCUUAAUUUAGAUGGAUGAUGAAUUAUAAUAAUUAUGCAAGGUGACACUUGUAAAAUAUGAGUUGAUAUGGUCUAUUUGAGAUAGCUCAUUAUGAAAGGAUUGCAUAGACGUAUAAUUAACGGUGCGUCAUAUGGGUACCACAAUGUGGCUCGCGCACGAGUCACCGACAGUUCGCGCAAAUUGUCAUUAAUUAUUCUCGUGUCAAAAACACCUGUUAUCCUCUCAAAACAGAUGUUUGGUUUUACGCCUUGUCGUCCGCCGCGUUUUCCGCGCGUAUUGACGCGACUGUCUUGACAGAAUAAAAAUAGAAAAGUGUAAAAAUAUAGAAUUGCAAAUUCUUCGGGUGACACGCCUCGCGAUAUAGUUUAUUGCGCGAUUAAAACGCAUAUUAAAUACGAUAAUUUUAUAAUUGUAUAUUAAUAUAUUUCCUUUUUUUCAGGACAGUGCACACAAUUGUUCUCUCUCUCGGGGAAUCGUCGCGCGGAUUAUGUUUGUCCGUUAGCCAUGCAGGUCAAAAACCUACCUCGUCGUUGUCCACCGCUGUGUACCGGUUGUCCCUUCAUGCGGUUCUUCCUUUUCUCGAAUCACUGCUCCCGCUUACUCGCAGAGAGUCCAUCAUCUAAAAUCACAGCAUUUCAUUUCUUUUUUUGCUUCGAUCGAGAGUGUCUUUCGAAAUGCACGACUAUACGGGUCCACGUUUCUAUUUCUUAAUCGUUCCUCUGUAUUCCGGCCACGAUGUAGGUUUACUAUUCCUUUUCACUAUUCCUUUCAUUAGUAUGUGACUCAUUAUCCGUGCACACGCUCACGUGUGUGUACAUAAGUACACACGUUAUUUGCAAUUUUUCAUGUUUGUGUCUAUUUAUGCAAGUUCCGCGCAUUUGCACAAAUGAGUCAUGAAGAGAUGCGAUAUAAUUUGAGCAGUUUUUACAAUUUUUACAAAAACUGUAAGAACGAGUUAAAAAAAAAAAAAGAAACGCGUGACAUUUAUAAUGUCAGUUAUUAUUUUUAUAUAAUACGUAUUUGGCGUUUUUUUUUUUCUAGUAUGAAUCGAAAUUCUGGUAGGAAAAGGAGUUUUCACGAGAAACAAGAGCCUAGUACGCGCUGGCCGAGAGCAUUAAUGAGUUAAAGAGACACUUUGCGCGCGCGGCAACGAGCGGAGAAAGACGCGCGCGCGUGCUCCAGGGCGCGCACACACAUCGACGCGACGACGGACGCGGGCACACAGGCAAACAGGCAAGCACAACAUGAGCGAACCGUUGAUUUCACAGUUUGCGAACGCGGGCCUCUUCCUUUCUCCUCGUAGAGCACGACAUUUUCGAUGUAUAUUUUUAGGAUUCUCGAGCCCCGGGAUGCUAGGUCGCGUUUUGCGACUGGGGCUCUUAUUUUUCACUGCAGAACUGCCGACGUUUACAUACACGAAGAUAAAGAUGACGUGAAAAAAACGAUAAGAUAAAGGAGCACGAGAGACGGCGUUGUCGUCCCACCCGACGGCACAACUCGUGCCUAUGCACUGACGCGGCUCCGCUUCUCGUAGUCUCCUCCAUCGCUGUCGCUCCUUCUCUCGGUAGUGGAAAGGGGCCGGGGAAGGGGAGCAGGCCAACGCCAUCGCAGGCACCAAUUGCAACGGUUGCCAAUGCAACUGUGGAAUGUGUUAUACGUUUUGUAGACAAACUGUUUAUAAAGUCGUGCAAUUAAGACUGCGAACAUCUACCAAUCACAGUAAAAUAGAUAUAGAUUUUAUUCAAACUUAGAGUCCUACGUUAAGAAUUAUACAAAAUAAUUAAAUUUCUUUUUGAUGGUACAUUGUAGAGCCUUUGAAAAUUUUGCUACAGUUUAGAGAUUGAUAUUUAAAUAUUUAAUUACAUUGUCUAUGAUCCUAGAUUGUCUCAUUUAAUAAAAGCAUCACCUCAACUUUAAUUUAUAGGAAAAAAAUAGCAAUUAUUGGAUAAAAUAUAUAGAAAUUUAAUAUGGACAAGGAAAGAUAUUGUUCUACAAAGAAUAUUUUAAUGAAACCUUUAUUAAGAUUUUUAUCAUGCCAAAGACAAAUGACGACUUUGGCUAUACAAACAGGUAAACGUUUCCCCGGCGAGAGUCCUCCAUGCAGAUGCAAACUGUACACAAUAUGUCACAUAGAAUUUAGAGUUAAAAAAUAUUAAAAAAUACAAUAAAAUUGCACCAAUGCAGGAUAGAAUACAAAAGAAAUAUUUAUGUAUGUUUAAAUUAAACAAUAUUUUACUUAUAAAAAUAUAAUUUCUUUUUAAUGACAGCUUAUUUUGUGCCAUAAUUACACUGCCAUUUUUAGUUAUAAUAUAUUCCGUUACUUGAUUUUACUAAAUUAACUGUAUUAUUCAAUAAAAUUUUAACAUGUAAUAUACUAUCAUGAAUGAACUAUCAGUUGCAUCUGCACUAUCGACCGACUUGCGCGGGCAUCUCUACUAUCUUAAAUCACAAUGGUGACGACAAGUUUAACUAUUUAUUUGUUAAUUAGUUCCUUAAGAUUGAUCGUUACAGUUAAGCAGGUACGCACGCAUGCACGCACACACGUUCUUAGCAGUCGUAUACGUAAAAACGCGUGACGAAACGAUUCGAUGAUUGCCGAUAGUCCCUUGGCGAAUAUUCAAUGACGACAUGAUAUAGUGUUGCAUUAUGAACUUGAAAACUAUUAGUAAUUCAUAGAAUGUGAAUCUGUAGUCUAAUGAAUUUGGGACCAUAAUUAUAACAGAUGAUAAGAUGUUUCCAUUAACUUUAACGAUCAAAAUUAUCUCUGCUAGAAAAGUUGAAAAGAUAAAUAAAAAAAGAAUGAAACAACAGUAAACUGAAAGAUCAAAGAUAAAUUUUAGAAAAUUAAAAAUAUUUUUUGCAAGAUUACAUUUUUGCAAACAACGCGCAAUGAUUGCCAAGAUCAUCGGCAUUCAUUAUCGUAGAUCACACGAGGAAAUUAUAUUCCCGCGGAGCGACUCGCUUUUAUUAUUAUAUAAUUCUCCUUACCGCCAUAAGAUUAAUUUACCGCGAUCGAUUCGAGUCGCGCAAACCCGUAAAGAGAGUACCUACGUUUUCAGCAUCGCGCCGAAUGCUUAUAGGCCAUAAAAUCGUAAAAAAAUAUUCAAGCGCGAAUUCGUACGCGAGUAUUUGGUGUGGAGUGCCUCUGAUUUUUUUGCCUUCUUUUUUCGAGGCAAAAAUUGGAACGCGCGUUUACUUUCGUAUACUUUGCAGAAAAGAGUGAGAUCGCUCGCGGUCUAUCGAAUCUGAAUCGUGAGUGCGUGCAUUGCGUAGCGACUGCGCAGUUUUUUUUUUCUCGUUUUUAUAAAGAGGAACGAUUGACGAAAUAUCUACUAUUAUGUUGGAACACAGAGAGACAAUCGUUAAACAAUGCUAUCAGCCCUUAACCGACGCAAUUUUGCACAAAAUCCUUAAAAUUAACAGAUGUGUGAUCAUUAAAUGUUUCUACACUUAUACAUACAAUGUUGAAUGGAAUCAAAUUAUAUUCAUUAUUUUCAAUUAAUUGAGCAGUGUAAAUUCUUACAUUAUUUUUUUAUAAUGUGAGACAAUUGAUUCAUGUAUAAUAAGACACAUUUUUUUGUAGUUUAACAUACUUUUGUAUUCUUAAUUGACAGAGGUAAACAAACGAAUUUUGCGAAACUUAUCGAGUAAGGGCUGAGAUAAACGAUUCAAUCUCCUCUCUUCGCUUUUAUCCAAAUUAAUAAAUUUUCUAACACCCCGUACCAAUCUAUUUUGCAAAUAAAAUAUUCUGGUUUCUGUUAAAAAUCCUAAUUACAUUGACAAAUACAAUUGUGGAGAAAAUUAUAACAAAUUAUUAAGGUAUCAAAAUAUAGCUUUUAAGAAAUGUAGUUUUUAAAUCUGUAAUAUUCAUAUUACAGAUUAUUACAGUCUUAGUGUAAAUGACAAAUGAAAAAUUGACAUUAUGUAUAUUGUAAUAAGACGAUUUUAACAAUUAAUCCGGUUACGUGGCGACGGAUACGAGGCAUCGUGAAUCUGCCAUGCGAUUCGAAAUCGGCGAACGGUAAUAGUUCUUCGAAAUCGUUUACGAUGCAACAUAUGCUUCGAGAGCAUAGGAUAAAGAGAGAGAGAGAGAGAGAAAGAGAGAAAGAGAGAUUUAAAGACAAUGACAUAGAAAGUUUAAGAGAUUAAUCCGAGGAAAAAAUCUUUAGGCACACUCACACACAUACACGUACAUUUAUAUAAUUAUAUAUUUGUGUGUAUAUAUUAUGCGUAGAGCGCAAGAGUCUUUAAUUUUUUGGCAAGCAAAAUGCGGCUUCGCACUUUUAUUCGAAUUCCUGCAGGAGUCAGCAAGGGUGAAAUGAUUUGUUCAUUCUUAAUUCUUUAUGCUUAAGAAGACGAUACAAUUAAAAAAUAAAUUUGAAACGAGAUAAAAACAUAAUGUUAAGAUUUAAGAUAUAUAUGUAAAUAAUUUAGAAAACUUAGAAUAAAAAUAAAAAUUUAGAAUAUAAAUGCAUUACGUAAAAUAUUUUUUCUUGGCUUAGGCAAUUGUUAAUGUUAUUCUCAAUUUAUUACGAAGUUUGCAGUUAUUUCUAAAACUUAUUAAAGUUUGGCACGAGAAGUAUGAUAAUUAAAGAAAACUGAAUUGGCGCAAAGAAUUAAUCAAUAAAAAUUACACAUCUAUCUAUUUUCGUAUUAAUUUCGAUUAGAUUUCGACAACGUCGAUUAUCUAACCGCUUUGUACUUGUUCAACCGAUCAACAUUUUGCAGAAAGAAUGUCACAGUGCGAAUAUCAGAUCACCCUCGUAACGUCAUCAUUCAGUAUUAUGGACUCUUAAAAUUGCUUAUUUUUCUUUGUUCUUCGUACGUUUUUCGCGCAGUGUUAGUUAAUUAUAAUGUAAUCGUUAUAUCGUAAUUUAAUAGCAAAUAUAUUAUCACAUUUAGAUUGUAUUAAUUUUUAAGAUAACCAGCCAGACGUUCUUCGACGAAUUUUUCGUCUCCCCGCAACUUUUGCAGUGAACAAGAAAGUCUAUUAAUGCCCAAUUAUUUUAUAAUACUUGUUUUUACUGUCGUUUAAUUUUAUUUUCUACAACAGAAAUAAUGCGAUAACUAUAGUCAUUUAUAAAUAAAAAUCCCGUUUCGUGUUUAGAACGUUUUACUUUCGAUAAAUGUUCCAAGAAACCACAUUGUCAUCAAUAUCUUCGCAUUGAAACAUUUGACCUUUCAUUCUUUAUCCUCUCGAUCCCGUUGAUAAGAUCUCGCGAUGACGUAAUAAAUAACUGAGUUGCCUUUGUUUCGCAGAUUCCACCAAUGAACACUUAAGAGAGCAGUUCAAUUCACACUUUAAAAGAGCGCAAGCGACGCCACUCGUCGCAGCCACGUCUGUCCGUCACGGCGGUCAGUGCGGGAAGAGCAUAAAAGAGAUGGACAUCACGUCGCGCCGUGAAUUCGUUUCUACUUUCAGUCUUUCUCCACGGUCCAAUCUACGAUUCUAGCACCAUUUUGCAGCUUUCUCCGUUCGUCAUCAUCAUUAAACGACGCGAACGGGCGGUUUACCGAUCGUCAUAUUUCAUCGAAUCGGCUACGUAAUGUAACACUUGGACGUUUACAUAGCUAAUAGCAAGAUCUCGUUAGAAUUCAAAGGUUACAUUAAAUUAUCGAUGUUCGCAUGCAAUAAUCUAUACGUUUUCUAAUGUCUAAAGGGGGAAAGCCUUGUCAAUGCUGAUUUGGGAAACAAUCCGUCCUGACAUUUGACCUCUUCGAUUGACUUCAUUUCUCCAUUCAUAUCAAUUUCGUAAAUUAAUUCUCUAGCUUACCUCUUAAGGUGCUUUUAUCGUGAAAUUAUGAAUAUUCCAAUUUUCCUCGAAUUUGGAUUGACACUUUCACCCGAUUGCAAUUUUCUUCGUUUGUCUACCAAGUUCAGCACCUGUACAAGCCUUCCUGUAAAUUCUAAUAUAUCUAGAUCGCAGUAUUGACAAAAUGAGGACGUAUAAAGGACAGGCGAGUCCUAGAUUUCUUUUUCUGCAGGUCUCUCACGGCCGUUGUUCUUUUCUUCGUUCUUUGGGGUCGUUUUCGCUAGUUGGUCGCAUCCGGAUUUGAGGACGGCGAAGAUGCC